rnacentral:rRNA from 1 species
UACGUAGGGUGCAAGCGUUGUCCGGAAUUAUUGGGCGUAAAGGGCUCGUAGGCGGUUUGUCGCGUCGGGAGUGAAAACCAGGUGCUUAACACCUGGCUUGCUUUCGAUACGGGCAGACUAGAGGUAUUCAGGGGAGAACGGAAUUCCUGGUGUAGCGGUGAAAUGCGCAGAUAUCAGGAGGAACACCGGUGGCGAAGGCGGUUCUCUGGGCCGUAACUGACGCUGAGGAGCGAAAGCGUGGGGAGCGAACAGG